GAUGAACGCUGGCGGCGUGCCUAAUACACGCAAGUCGAGCGAAUGGAUUAAGAGCUUGCUCUUAUGAAGUUAGCGGCGGACGGGUGAGUAACACGUGGGUAACCUGCCCAUAAGACUGGGAUAACUCCGGGAAACCGGGGCUAAUACCGGAUAACAUUUUGAACCGCAUGGUUCGAAAUUGAAAGGCGGCUUCGGCUGUCACUUAUGGAUGGACCCGCGUCGCAUUAGCUAGUUGGUGAGGUAACGGCUCACCAAGGCAACGAUGCGUAGCCGACCUGAGAGGGUGAUCGGCCACACUGGGACUGAGACACGGCCGAGACUCCUACGGGAGGCAGCAGUAGGGAAUCUUCCGCAAUGGACGAAAGUCUGACGGAGCAACGCCGCGUGAGUGAUGAAGGCUUUCGGGUCGUAAAACUCUGUUGUUAGGGAAGAACAAGUGCUAGUUGAAUAAGCUGGCACCUUGACGGUACCUAACCAGAAAGCCACGGCUAACUACGUGCCAGCAGCCGCGGUAA
rnacentral:rRNA from 1 species